rnacentral:rRNA from 1 species
GACGAACGCUGGCGGCGUGCUUAAUACAUGCAAGUCGAACGGAAAGGCCCUGCUUUUGUGGGGUGCUCGAGUGGCGAACGGGUGAGUAACACGUGAGUAACCUGCCCUUGACUUUGGGAUAACUUCAGGAAACUGGGGCUAAUACCGGAUAGGAGCUCCUGCUGCAUGGUGGGGGUUGGAAAGUUUCGGCGGUUGGGGAUGGACUCGCGGCUUAUCAGCUUGUUGGUGGGGUAGUGGCUUACCAAGGCUUUGACGGGUAGCCGGCCUGAGAGGGUGACCGGCCACAUUGGGACUGAGGUACGGCCCAGACUCCUACGGGAGGCAGCAGUGGGGAAUAUUGCACAAUGGGCGGAAGCCUGAUGCAGCAACGCCGCGUGCGGGAUGACGGCCUUCGGGUUGUAAACCGCUUUCGCCUGUGACGAAGCGUGAGUGACGGUAAUGGGUAAAGAAGCAACGGCUAACUACGUG